rnacentral:lncRNA from 1 species
UUUGAGGGGAGAUUUGGUUGGUUUUGGGGUGUUUUUAGGGUGUUUUCGUUGUUUUUUGGGUGUUUUUAGGGUGUUUUGGUUGGUUUUUGGGGUGUUUCUGAGGUGUUUUCAUUGGGUUUGGGGUGAUUUUGGGGUGUUUUGGGGUUAUUUUGGUGUGUUUUGGGGUGUUUUUGGGGUGUUUUGCGGUGGUUUUUAAGUGUUUUUGGGGUGUUUUCUUUGUUUUUUGUGUGUUUUGGUUGGUUUUUGGGGUGUUUUGGGGUGUUCUGGGGUGUUUUUGGGUGAUUUUGGUGUGUUUUGGGGUGAUUUUGGGGUGAUUUUGGGGUGUUUUGGUUGAUUUUUGGUUGAUUUUUGGGUGAUUUUGGGGUGAUUUUGGGGUGUUUUGGUGUGUUUUGGUUGGUUUUUGGGUGAUUUUAGUGUGUUUUGGGAUGUUUUGGGGUGAUUUUGGUUGAUUUUUGGGUGAUUUUGGUGUGUUUUGGUUGGUUUCUAGUGUGUUUUUGGGGUGAUUUUGCUUGAUUUUGGGGUGAUUUUGGUGUGUUUUGGGGUGAUUUUGGGGUGUUUUAGUGUGUUUUGGGGUGUUUUGGUUGAUUUUGGGGUGAUUUUGGGGUGAUUUUGGGUGAUUUUGGUGUGUUUUGGUUGAUUUUUGGAUGAUUUUGGGGUGUUUUGGGGUGAUUUUGGGAUGUUUUGGUUGAUUUUUGGGUGAUUUUGGGGUGUUUUGGGGUGAUUUUGGUUGAUUUUUGGGUGAUUUUGGUGUGUUUUUGUGUGUUUUUGGUGUGUUUUUGGGUGAUUUUGGUGUAUUUCGGGUGUGUUUUGGUGUGUUUUGUGUGUUUUUGGUGUGUUUUUGUGUGUUUUAGUGUGUUUUUGUGUGUUUUUGGUGUGUUUUUGGGUGAUUUUGGGGUGUUUUUGGUUGAUUUUUGGUGUAUUUUGGGUGAUUUUGGUGUGUUUUGGGGUGAUUUUGGGGUGUUUUAGUGUGUUUUGGUGUGUUUUGGUUGAUUUUUGGAUGAUUUUGGGGUGUUUUGGGGUGAUUUUGGGAUGUUUUGGUUGAUUUUUGGGUGAUUUUGGGGUGUUUUGGGGUGGUUUUGGGGUAUUUUGGGGUGGUUUUGGGUGUUUUUGGUUGAUUUUUGGGUGAUUUUGGUGUGUUUUGGGGUGAUUUUGGGGUGUUUUAGUGUGUUUUGGUGUGUUUUGGUUGAUUUUUGGAUGAUUUUGGGGUGUUUUGGGGUGAUUUUGGGAUGUUUUGGUUGAUUUUUGGGUGAUUUUGGUGUGUUUUUGUGUGUUUUUGGUGUGUUUUGGGGUGAUUUUUCAGUGUUUUGGGGUGAUUUUGGGGUGUUUUGGUUGAUUUUAGUGUGUUUUUGGUGUGUUUUUGGGUGAUUUUAGUGUGUUUUGGGGUGAUUUUGGUGUAUUUUUGGGUGAUUUUGGUGUAUUUUGGGUGUAUUUUGAGUGUGUUUUGGGGUGAUUUUGGGUGAUUUUGGGUGUUUUUGGGUGUUUUUGGUGUGUUUUGUGGUGAUUUUGGGGUGUUUUGGGGUGAUUUUUGUGUGUUUUUGGUUGAUUUUUGAUUGGUUUUGAAGUGUUUUGGGGUGAUUUUGAUGUGUUUUUGUGUGUUUUUGUAUGUUUUUUGAGCGAUUUUGAGCAGCACUCACCUGUCCACAUUUAACCCCUCGUCUCCCAGCCCAAAGUGGUGUGGCUGAAGAACCAGGUGGCCAUCGGGGAGGACCCCAAGUUCCUGGCCCGGCACAGCCAGGGGGUGCUGACCCUCCUGAUCCGCAAGCCGGGGCCCUUCGACGGCGGCACCUACGCCUGCCGCGCCGUCAACGAGCUGGGCGAGGCCCUGACCGAGUGUCGCCUGGAGAUCCGCGGUGAGGGGGGACCCCAACACUGCCCGGGGGGGAAAUGGGGGGGUUUCAGGCAAUUUGGGGGAGUUUGGGGAAACUU